rnacentral:rRNA from 1 species
AUUGAACGCUGGCGGCAGGCCUAACACAUGCAAGUCGAGCGGGGUUUUCGGACCUAGCGGCGGACGGGUGAGUAAUGCGUAGGAAGCUACCCGAUAGAGGGGGAUACCAGUUGGAAACGACUGUUAAUACCCGCAUAAUGUCUACGGACCAAAGUGUGGGACCUUCGGGCCACAUGCUAUCGGAUGCGCCUACGUGGGAUUAGCUAGUUGGUGAGGUAAUGGCUCACCAAGGCGACGAUCUCUAGCUGGUUUGAGAGGAUGAUCAGCCACACUGGAACUGAGACACGGUCCAGACUCCUACCGGGAGGCAGCAGUGGGGGAAUAUUGGACAAUGGGNGCAAGCCUGAUCCAGCCA